rnacentral:rRNA from 1 species
CAAUGUGCGUAAGCAUGAUGGGGGAACUCCAAGUGUUCCUCAAACGAGGAACUUUUGUAGUAUGUAAAAAGUACUAAGAAUAAGAGCUGGGCAAGACUGGUGCCAGCCUCCGCGGUAAAACCAGCAGCUCUAGUGGUAGUCAUAAAUAUUGGGCUUAAAGCGUUCGUAGCCGGUCUAGUAAGUUCUCUGUGAAAUCCUUGGGCUUAACUCAAGGGCUGGCAGAGAAUACUGUUAGACUUGGAGCCGGGAGGGGUUGAGGGAAUUUCUGGGGUAGCGGUGAAAUGCUAUAAUCCCAGAAGGACCUCCGAGGGCGAAGGCACUCAACCAGAACGGGCUCGACGGUGAGGGACGAAGGCUAGGGUAUCAAACCGGAUUAGAUACCCGGGUAGUCCUAGCUUCAAACGAUGCAGACUAGGUGUUUCUUGAACUUCGAGUUUGAGAAAUGCUGAAAGGAAACUAUUAAGUCUGCCGCCUGGGGAGUACGGCCGCAAGGCUGAAACU